rnacentral:rRNA from 1 species
UUAAGUUAAUAAGGGCGCACGGUGGAUGCCUUGGCACUAGAAGCCGAUGAAGGACGUGACUAACGACGAAAUGCUUUGGGGAGCUGUAAGUGAGCAAUGAUCCAGAGAUGUCCGAAUGGGGGAACCCGGCAGGUAAUGCCUGUCACUCAUUACUGUUAAGGUAAUGUAGAGGAAGACGCAGUGAACUGAAACAUCUAAGUAGCUGUAGGAAGAGAAAGCAAAAGCGAUUGCCUUAGUAGCGGCGAGCGAAACGGCAAGAGGGCAAACCGAAGAGUUUACUCUUCGGGGUUGUAGGACUGCAACGUGGACUUAAAGAUUAUAGAAGAACUACCUGGGAAGGUAGGCCAAAGAGAGUAAUAGCCUCGUAUUCGAAAUAGUCUUUAUACCUAGCAGUAUCCUGAGUACGGCGAGACACGAGAAAUCUCGUCGGAAUCUGGGAGGACCAUCUCCCAACCCUAAAUACUCUCUAGUGACCGAUAGUGAACCAGUACCGUGAGGGAAAGGUGAAAAGCACCCCGGGAGGGGAGUGAAAUAGAACCUGAAACCGUGUGCCUACAACAAGUUCGAGCCCGUUAAUGGGUGAGAGCGUGCCUUUUGUAGAAUGAACCGGCGAGUUACGAUAUGAUGCGAGGUUAAGUUGAAGAGACGGAGCCGUAGGGAAACCGAGUCUUAAUAGGGCGCAUUAGUAUCAUGUCGUAGACCCGAAACCAUGUGACCUACCCAUGAGCAGGUUGAAGGUGAGGUAAAACUCACUGGAGGACCGAACCAGGGCACGUUGAAAAGUGCUUGGAUGACUUGUGGGUAGCGGAGAAAUUCCAAACGAACUUGGAGAUAGCUGGUUCUCUCCGAAAUAGCUUUAGGGCUAGCGUCGAUGUUAAGUCUCUUGGAGGUAGAGCACUGUUUGGGUGAGGGGUCCAUCCCGGAUUACCAAUCUCAGAUAAACUCCGAAUGCCAAUGAGAUAUAAUCGGCAGUCAGACUGCGAGUGCUAAGAUCCGUAGUCGAAAGGGAAACAGCCCAGACCACCAGCUAAGGUCCCAAAAUAUAUGUUAAGUGGAAAAGGAUGUGGGGUUGCACAGACAACUAGGAUGUUAGCUUAGAAGCAGCUAUUCAUUCAAAGAGUGCGUAAUAGCUCACUAGUCGAGUGACCCUGCGCCGAAAAUGUACCGGGGCUAAAACAUAUUACCGAAGCUGUGGAUACCUUUAUAGGUAUGGUAGGAGAGCGUUCUAUGUGCGAAGAAGGUGUACCGUGAGGAGUGCUGGAGCGCAUAGAAGUGAGAAUGCCGGUAUGAGUAGCGAAAGACAGGUGAGAAUCCUGUCCACCGUAAGACUAAGGUUUCCAGGGGAAGGCUCGUCCGCCCUGGGUUAGUCGGGACCUAAGGAGAGACCGAAAGGUGUAUCCGAUGGACAACAGGUUGAUAUUCCUGUACUAGAGUAUAUAGUGAUGGAGGGACGCAGUAGGCUAACUAAACCAGACGAUUGGAAGUGUCUGGCCAAGCAGUGAGGUGUGAUAUGAGUCAAAUGCUUAUAUCUUUAACAUUGAGCUGUGAUGGGGAGCGAAGUUUAGUAGCGAAGUUAGUGAUGUCACACUGCCGAGAAAAGCUUCUAGCGUUAAUUAUACUCUACCCGUACCGCAAACCGACACAGGUAGUCGAGGCGAGUAGCCUCAGGUGAGCGAGAGAACUCUCGUUAAGGAACUCGGCAAAAUGGCCCCGUAACUUCGGGAGAAGGGGCGCUGACUGAUGGUCAGCCGCAGUGAAUAGGCCCAAGCAACUGUUUAUCAAAAACACAGCUCUCUGCUAAAUCGUAAGAUGAUGUAUAGGGGGUGACGCCUGCCCGGUGCUGGAAGGUUAAGAGGAGUGCUUAGCGUAAGCGAAGGCAUGAAUUGAAGCCCCAGUAAACGGCGGCCGUAACUAUAACGGUCCUAAGGUAGCGAAAUUCCUUGUCGGGUAAGUUCCGACCCGCACGAAAGGCGUAAUGAUUUGGGCACUGUCUCAACGAGAGACUCGGUGAAAUUUUAGUACCUGUGAAGAUGCAGGUUACCCGCGACAGGACGGAAAGACCCCAUGGAGCUUUACUGCAGUUUGAUAUUGAGUAUCUGUACCACAUGUACAGGAUAGGUAGGAGCCUAUGACCUCGGGACGCCAGUUUCGAGUGAGGCGUUGUUGGGAUACUACCCUUGUGUUAUGGCUACUCUAACCCAGAUAGGUUAUCCCUAUCGGAGACAGUGUCUGACGGGCAGUUUGACUGGGGCGGUCGCCUCCUAAAAGGUAACGGAGGCGCCCAAAGGUUCCCUCAGAAUGGUUGGAAAUCAUUCGCAGAGUGUAAAGGUAUAAGGGAGCUUGACUGCGAGAGUUACAACUCGAGCAGGGACGAAAGUCGGGCUUAGUGAUCCGGUGGUUCCGUAUGGAAGGGCCAUCGCUCAACGGAUAAAAGCUACCCUGGGGAUAACAGGCUUAUCUCCCCCAAGAGUUCACAUCGACGGGGAGGUUUGGCACCUCGAUGUCGGCUCA